UACGUAGGUGGCAAGCGUUGUCCGGAUUUAUUGGGUUUAAAGGGUGCGUAGGCGGUUCCAUAAGUCAGUGGUGAAAUACGGCAGCUCAACUGUCGAGGUGCCAUUGAUACUGCGGAACUUGAGUGUUGAUGAGGCAGGCGGAAUUGACGGUGUAGCGGUGAAAUGCUUAGAUAUCGUCAAGAGCACCGAUAGCGAAGGCAGCUUGCCAAGCAACAACUGACGCUCAGGCACGAAAGUGCGGGGAUCAAACAGG
rnacentral:rRNA from 1 species